UUAGAAAGAAAAAAAAUCAGA
rnacentral:snRNA from 1 species